ACCACUAGCAGCGUCUGCACAGAUCGACCCCGCCAUCCCGCCGUCCCGCUCGGUGACUGGAGACGCAGCCGGGAACGCGACUGAUCAGGCUACCGAGCCGGGCCGCAGGGCGAAAGCGGUGCGGUCCGAGGCCUUAGAAAGGGACACGCAGCAGCGGCAGUGGCGCUGACUCAGCCCGGCCUCCCUGCAGUCCCCUGGCAGCGGUAGCAGCCACAGGGGCGGGCGGCUGGGCCACACGCCUCCCCCGCCCUCGGCCCCACCCGGCCGCACCCUAAGCCGCGCGGCAUCGCAGAGCGCAUGCGUGCCGCGGGGGAUGCCGGGAGCGCGCAGUGGCGGCAGCGGCGGCGACGGCAGUAACAGCGGCAGCUACAGCGGGGACGCGAGCGGGGCGGUGACGGUGUGGGAGGUGGUCUCACUCUUGGGAAAACUGCUGGGCACCGUCGUCGCGCUGAAGGUGGUUCUGUACCUGCUCCGAGUGUGCUUAGCGAUGGCCUGGAAAUCCGGCGGCGCCAGCCACUCGGAGCUAAUCCACAAUCUCCGCAAAAAUGGAAUCAUCAAGACAGAUAAAGUAUUUGAAGUGAUGCUGGCUACAGACCGCUCCCACUAUGCAAAAUGUAACCCAUACAUGGAUUCUCCACAAUCAAUAGGUUUCCAAGCAACAAUCAGUGCUCCACACAUGCAUGCAUAUGCGCUAGAACUUCUAUUUGAUCAGUUGCAUGAAGGAGCUAAAGCUCUUGAUGUAGGAUCUGGAAGUGGAAUCCUUACUGCAUGUUUUGCACGUAUGGUUGGAUGUACUGGAAAAGUCAUAGGAAUUGAUCACAUUAAAGAGCUAGUAGAUGACUCAAUAAAUAAUGUCAGGAAGGACGAUCCAACACUUCUGUCUUCAGGGAGAGUACAGCUUGUUGUGGGGGAUGGAAGAAUGGGAUAUGCUGAAGAAGCCCCUUAUGAUGCCAUUCAUGUGGGAGCUGCAGCCCCUGUUGUACCCCAGGCGGUGAGUCGGGAUUUUUUCUGUUUGUGUGUUUUUAUUCAACUAAAACUCUACAAGACUUAAAUAGAAAAGACUUCUAGAUGAUGUUCAAAAUAUAAUUAGACUUUUAUAUCAUACAUUUUGGUUACAAUUAGCUGCUACUCUUUUCUUUUUUCAUAUGCAAACAAUUGUAUAAAUGACAUGAAAAUUACUAAACCCCAGUUUGUGGCGCUCAUAUUUGAUCCAGGUAAGAACUAGGACAACAGUAGAAUUGGGAAAAUCCCUCUGGAGUUUAUGACCUGAUAAUCAGGGUUUUUUUUGUUUGUUUUUUGUUUUUUGUUUUUUUUUUUUGCUCUUGUCAAAAAAGAGUUUUGCUCUUGUCGCCCAGGCUGGAGUGCAGUGGCCCAAUUUCAGCUCACUGCAACCUCCGCCUCCCGGGUUCAAGUGAUUCUCCUGCCUCAGCCUCCUGAGUAGCUGGGAUUACAGGCGUGAGCCACUGCACCCGGCCAGUUUGAUGUUUUUUAAAUAGCAGAAUAUGUAAGGCUGUAUUUGGUGUAUGGGAGAUAUGAGAAAGUAUUUGCCAUACAUCAUAUUCUCACAAAGCUUGUAUUCUAGAAGAGAUAUGUCAUAUAUGUAACUGGGAAAUUAGCGAUAUGAUAACAUAUAAUUAACACAGGAUAUCUAUUGGAAGGAAAAUAAAAUAUGCAUAUGAGGGAGAGAAUUGUGCAGUGAGUGGUCAAGGAGACAUCACACACGGAUGGAACUUGAACUGAAUCUUAAGAAUAGUAGGAUAUAUGGCCGGGCAUGGUGGCUCAUGCAUGUAACCCCAGCACCUUGGGAGGCCAAGGUGGGAGGAUUGCUUGAGCCUAGGAGUUUGAGACCAGUCUGAGUAACAUGGCAAGACCCUGUUUAAAAAAAAAAAUUAGCCAGGCACAGUGGGGCAUAUGCCUGUAGCCCCAGCUACUCUGGAGGCUGAGGUGGGAGAAUUGCUUGAGCCCAAGCUGUUGAGGCUGCAUUGAGCCAUGUUUGUGCCAUGGCACUGUAGCCUGUGGUCCUAGAUUUCUGUUACAUAUGGCUUUUGCGUAGUUCUUGAGUAGAUGACCAGGGGAUGAAGGUGACACUGUUUCUUCUGUCUAGUCUCAUCCGUUUUUUUUGUAGGCUUAGAUCAGUUAUGGGAAGAUGAAAGUUGUAUAAUUUGUUCUGGUCAUUGACUUGCUGCUUAUUGGCCAAGUGACUGGGAAAAUGACUUAAUUGCUUUGGCCCUGUUGAUUAUCUGUUUAAAAAAAAAAAGUAGCUCACGCCUGUAAUCCCAGCACUUUGGGAGGCUAAGGCAGAUGAAUCACUUGCGCUCAGAAGUUCGAGACCAGCCUGGGCAAUAUGGCAAAACCCCAUCUCUACAAAAAAUACAAAAAAUUAGAUGUGCCAGGCACUUGUAGUCCCAGCUACUCAAGAGGCUGAGGUGGGAGGAUAGCUUGGAUUGCGUGAGCCUGAGAGGUUGAGGCUGCAGUGAGCCAUGCUUGUACUGCUGCAUUCCAACCUGGGUGACAAAGUGAGACCCUGUCUCAAAAAAAAAAAAAAAAAAAAAAGGUAGAUUGAACCAGUGGUUUUAACACAUUUUAACUGAAGUAUUAAUAUAAUGUAGAAAAUUUUGCAAGUCAUAAACGAACAGCUCAAUGAAUUUGAACGCAUGACCAAUGGGUUUUUAACUUUUCAAAAAAAAAUAUUGACAACCUAGAGUGAACAGUUAAAAUCUGAAAUAGAACUGUGUUUAAAUGAGGCGGGUGGGUGCAGGGCCCAUUUCUCCCUACUGGGACCCUGAAGUGAUCUUGAAAGAUAUUUCUAGAUUUAAUUAAAUUGAAUUUAAAUAUUGUAGUAAUACUUGCAAGUAUUAUAGGGGUAUGUAUACAUCUGAUUUAAGAUAGAUGUACUGAAGGGGCUUUCUAGUUUUAAGAUAGCAGAAUGAAGAUGUUUAUGCCUUCUUUUGGAUAUCACCCCAAGAUAACCAGAAAAACAGAAGCAUAAACUCCAUACUCAAUUAACUAGGAGACUAUACCUGCAAUCCUGAACUCCACAGUGUGUGAAGAUAGAAAGCAGAUGGAAUAAUAGCUGACCCAGGAGGGUAGAGGAAGUAGAAACUAAAGAGACUACAGAGUGAAAUAUUAUGCAUACGCAGUUUGCUCUGCAAAACUCUGAAAAGGCUUAGGAAUUGGUGGCAUCAAGACCUUGAAAAUCAUAGGUAAAGCAUGGGUCUGAAAAGAGGGAAUGCUGCUUGAGACUCUGCAUGAGGAAUAAUCAGCACUAAUCCCUAAGUAAGAAAUUUUCUAAAAACUGGUGGACAUAAUUCUAACACAAAGAAUUUUUAAAAUAAGAAAAAAGAGCAACCAUAUCAUUUAUAUUCAGAAUAUUAGGGGAUAAAGAGAAGAUUCUGAAAGCCUCUAGAGGCCAGGUGUGGUGGCUCACACUUCUCAGCAGUUUGGGAGGCCAAGGAAGGAGGAUCGCUUGAGGAUCUGAGUUUGAGACCAGCCUGGGCAACAUAGCGAGACCCCAUCUGUACAAAAAAAUUUAAAAAUUAGCCAGAUGUGGCAGCCUGUGCCUGUAGUCCCAGCUACAUGGGAGGCUGAGGUGGGAGGAUUGCUUGAGCCCAGGAAGUUGAGAUUUCAGUGAACCAUGAUUGCACCACUGUAUUCCAGCCUAGGUGACAGAGCAAGACCCUGUCUUUAGAAAAAAUAAAUAAAAGCUUCUAGAAAAAUAAAACAGAUCUCCUGUUAAGGACUGGUAAUCAGAAAGGCAUCAGACUGCAAACAGCAUUAGAAUUUGUAAGUCAGAGUACCAAACCAUCAAAUUCUGAGUUGAAAAUUAUUUCCAACCUUGAAUUCUGUAUGCACACACAUCACCAAGAUAGUUUUAGGUUUGCAAAUCUCCAUCUCUUUCUUUUAAUACAUUCCAUGCACUAUUUCACAAAAUGCUUCUGAAGGAACUUUCUUAAAUGAUUAAGAUGUCUUAAAAUGUCUUAAAAUUUAAUGUAUUAAAAUGCCAUUUUUGUCAUCCAAAAAUGAAAUGAGGGAAGAGACAGAUAGUAGGAAAAACCAAAAGAGGAAACCACAUAAGGCAUCUUGAUCAGGCAGAGGCAUGGAAGUUUGCGGGAUUGUUACAAAGGGAAGGGCCUGGAUGGAAGCUGUGCAGCAGGCCUGGAGAAUAACCAGCUCAGAUUUGGAGCAAGAGGAGGAAAGGAAACAAUGAUUGGAUACUUCUUGACUCAGCAGCAAAUCAUAGUUACACAGUCAUAACUAGAAAUGAUUUUAAUAAAAAAUGAUUGGUUGGAUUGGGGGAAGGAAGCAGAAUGUAGAUUAAGGGAGUUCAAUCCUUAUCUAGCAUAUGUUUUGAAAUAUAAAGGUAAAUACUAGAAGACAUAGCUAAAAGGAUUUGAAAUGACUGGAUUUAGAGAGCAAGGGUGGGGUAGGGAGAGGAAGUCAGCUGUUUUUCAUUAUAAGCCUUGAAAUUGAGAAAAACAAGAAGAUAGACUUGCAGACAACCAAAACUUUGAUUGAGGGCACCCUUUCCUGAGGUAAUAAAUAUCCAAAGUAAGGUUUCUGGCUGGGCAUGGUGGCUCAUGCCUGUAAUCCCAGUACUUUAAGAGGCCGAGGAGAGCGGAUCACUUGAGGUUAGGAGUUCGAGACCAGCCUGGCCAACAUGUUGAAAGCCCGUCUCUAUUAAAAAUACAAAAAAAAUUAGUCGGGCUCGGUGCAUGGCACCUGUACUCCCAGCUACUUGGGAGGCUGAGGCAUGAGAAUUGCUUGAACCCGGGAGGCGGAGGUUGCAGUGAGCCGAGAUCGUGCCACUGCACUCCAGCCUGGGUGACAGAGUGAGACUCAGUCUCAAAACAAUAAAAAACUACAACAAAAAACAAAACAAAACAAAAAACCAAAGUAAGGUUUCUUCUUUAAUGUUUUUUAUUAAUAGUGAUCCGUAAAGCUAUAUGAAAAUGGUAACAUGAUUUAAAAGUUUUCUGACUGUAAGAGCUUUCAUUGAAUACUCUUGGUUCUUCAUUGACAGGAGUGUCCUCAUUCUAACACUGCAGGGACUCCAGCCCUACCUUCCCUCCUUAUGGUACCAGUAAACCUCAAUUGAAUCGUAUAACUAGGGUUCCCUUAUCCCUUCAGUGAUGCCCUAGAUUCUACAAUAAUAGGAUAGGGAUUCCUUGCUGAUUUUCUACACUUCCUCUCCUCCCCUCCUCCUUCCUUCAAACCCACAAAGAUUCAAAACAGGCACACAGGCAUUAGAAUUCUAUGCUCUGCCUUUGGCCCGCCAAGAGGAUAGUUCUAUAUUAGUUGGUUCAGUUCAAACAUUUUGAGCACUACAGUUGUACCAGGUACUGUGUUAGAUGCUAAAGACACAAAGAUGAAUAAGACACAGUCCCCAUCCUCAAGAGCUUGUCGUUUAAUAGAGGAGGCUGAUAGUUGAGUAAUAAUAUAACAAUCAAAGUAUGUACAGGGUGAGUAUCCCUUCUCCAAAAUAUUUGGGACCAGAAGUGUUUUGGAUUUUGGAUUUUUUCAGAUUUUUUCACAUUUUGGAAUAUUUACAUAUACAUAAUGAGAUAUCUUGGGAAUGGGACCAAGUCUAAACAUAAAACUCAUUUAUGUUAUACCUCUUAUACACGUAGCCUGAAGGUAAUUUUGUAUAAUAGUUCAAAUAAUUUUGUGCAUGGAAUAAAGUUGUGACUGCAUUUUGACUGUGACUUGCCACAUGAGGUCAGGUGUGAAAUUAUCUACUUGUGGUGUCAUGUUGAUGUUCAGAGUUUUGGAUUUUGGAGCAUUUCCAGUUUCGGGUUUUCAGAUUAUUGAUGCUCAACCUGUAUAUACUAUGUAUUUAUUUUUAAGACGGAGUCUC